GUUUGUUGUUCGUCUCAUUUGUUUAAAAAACUUACUUUUAAUGGUUGAUUCUGUACUUUUUGGAUGUUUGACUUGGUGGCAUUUGUAAUUUUCGAUCUAAAAGUUUGAGUUACUGUUGUGAAGCCAUUUGUUGACUAUGUGUUGCCUUUUUUUUGGUAACUUUGUUGACAGUUUUGUGGGCCUCACUGGUUUGAGAUUUGCUGUAUUCUUGGUGCAGUAAAUUUUGAAGUGAGGUUUGUUUGAAGUUGUAGGGUCUCAAUGUUGAUGUGAGAGGUUUUCUUUCACCUCAGUAUGAAGUUUAGUUUGGUGUCAGUAAAAACAUUGAGAAGGGUGUAGACAAAUAUUUUUCCUCUUUGAAUGUGUAGCCACAGCUUUAAAAUGUGUGGUCACUAAUCUUACAAUGUGAUUUGACUAAUAAAGCACAAAAAGUUUGCUCUUCAUUAUCAACAGGAGACAAAAGCCUUGAUUUUGAUGAAGUAAAAGCAGCUGUGCUUAAAGCAGAAGCAUACUGCCAGAAGUUUCGUAGGUUAAGAAAACAAACUAUCAGAUGUUUGUAGAGUUUGCACACGAAAAACAGGCUUUUGUUCAUCUAAUAAUGUGGCAGAUUUUGAGCAGCUUAAACAAACGUUACUCUUCGAGGACUUAAAAAACUACCUUCCAGAGAGAGUUGUGACAUAUUUAAAUGAAAACAAAGUUUCAGGUCCGUCCAAAUCCACCGAAGUGAUAGAUAAAUACGUCAGUUAAUAAACUUGAGAACGUCAUGGUCCUCCAAUUGGCAGUGGCAGGGGCUUGACUGAUGUUUUUUGAGGGGGGUAAACCAUACAGUCUAUGGGGUAAACUCACUUAUCCCUCAGAGCAGGAUCCUAAUAAAGGGAUGAAGGGUAAAGGCAGUAAAAUGAGUCUCUACUACAGAGAGUUGGGGCACAUUGUAAUAACUUGAAAUGCAAAACCAGUAGCUUUGGUGAACACAUUUAAGGAAAAACUGCGUGAACCUGUAGCAUGUGAGAAAACUUCCUGGAUGGUUGUUUCAUUACCUGGUAAUGGUCCUCAGGUUUCUAUGUAGAUGCUGCGUGACACGGCUGCUUCACAGUCCUUUUAUUUUGGAAGGAGUUUUGCCAUUUAGUAGGGAGUCUGUUGUUGGUUCGGAUAGCCAUGUUGUUCGGUUUGGUAUGAAGGACAUUGGUGUUUCUUUGUAAAACAUCUCGGUUGAGUCUGAUCUGGUAUCAGAUGAGGUGUCAGUUGGGGAACAUCCUUGUUUCCCGACUCCCUUUCAAACAUGCUUCAUACUUCCCAAGGCUUUUGCGUCAUUUUGCAUCAGUCACCCGUUUGCGUCAUAACCUGAAUGAGGAAGAACUUGAUUUUAGGGAUAGUUUUUUUGUGUAGUCCAGGUGAUGGCCUCUCUGUUCCAGAUGAUAAAUGUAAAUCAAUGCGUGAGCCUGUUGCUGCUGUUCCAGGUCUGACAUGUUUGUUUUUGUCUCAUGAGCAGUUGACAGCUGAACAAAGAAAGGAUGAAACUUUGUCACUUCUCUUUGAAACUGCAGUCACAGAGGAGCAAAGUCAGUCCCUGUCCACUGGAUUUUUCUUGAGAUGGUUUGCUCAUGUGUAAAUGGACUCUCCUCAGCCCAUCAGUUGCAGAUUACUGGAGUAUUGUGACUCACAUUGUUGUGCCACGUCCAUAUCGCCUACAAGCGUCGAGUCUAAAAAUAUGAAAGACGUCUGAUGUAACAGAAAAUGAGCUCAACUGCAGAACUUGAAUUGUACACUUUCUCCCCUACACCCAGAUUCCCUUUGUGGAUUAUUAAAGUGUCAC